AAAAAGCGUAAUAGCUCACUAGUCGAGUCGUCCUGCGCGGAAGAUGUAACGGGGCUCAAACUGUGCACCGAAGCUGCGGAUAUCGAAAGAUAUGGUAGGGGAGCGUUCUGUAGGUCUGUGAAGGUGUCUUGUAAAGGAUGCUGGAGAUAUCAGAAGUGCGAAUGCUGACAUGAGUAGCGAUAAAGGGCGUGAAAAGCGCCCUCGCCGAAAGCCCAAGGUUUCCUACGCAACGUUCAUCGGCGUAGGGUGAGUCGGCUCCUAAGGCGAGGCAGAAAUGCGUAGUCGAUGGGAAACAGGUCAAUAUUCCUGUACCGAUUCUAGAUGCGAUGUGGGGACGGAGAAGGUUAGGUCAGCCGGGUGUUGGACGUCCCGGUUUAAGCGUGUAGGCGUGCCCCUUAGGCAAAUCCGGGGGGCUAAGCUGAGGCGUGAUGACGAGGAACCACGGUUCCGAAGUGAUUGAUACCAAGCUUCCAGGAAAAGCCACCAAGCUUCAGUCUAGAGUUGACCGUACCGCAAACCGACACAGGUGGGCAGGAUGAAAAUUCUAAGGCGCUUGAGAGAACUCAGGAGAAGGAACUCGGCAAAUUAACACCGUAACUUCGGGAGAAGGUGUGCCCCGGUAGCGUGUAGAGACUUGCUCUCGAAGCGCGAUGGGGUUGCAGUGAAAUGGUGGCUGCGACUGUUUAAUAAAAACACAGCACUCUGCAAACACGAAAGUGGAUGUAUAGGGUGUGACGCCUGCCCGGUGCCGGAAGGUUAAGUGAUGGGGUGCAAGCUCUUGAUCGAAGCCCCGGAAAACGGCGGCCGUAACAAUAACGGUCCUAAGGUAGCGAAAUUCCUUGUCGGGUAAGUUCCGACCUGCACGAAUGGCGUAACGAUGGCCACACUGUCUCCUCCUGGGACUCAGCGAAGUUGAAAUGUUUGUGAAGAUGCAAUCUACCCGCGGCUAGACGGAAAGACCCCAUGAACCUUUACUGUAGCUUUGCAUUGGACUUUGAACCGGUUUGUGUAGGAUAGGCGGGAGACUGUGAAGCCGGGACGCUAGUUUCGGUGGAGUCAACCUUGAAAUACCACCCUGAUUUGUUUGAGGUUCUAACCUUGGUCCGUGAAUCCGGAUCGGGGACCGUGCAUGGUAGGCAGUUUGACUGGGGCGGUCUCCUCCCAAAAGGUAACGGAGGAGUACGAAGGUACGCUUAGGGCGGUCGGACAUCGCCCACAAAGUGCAAUGGCAAAAGCGUGCUUGACUGCGAGACCCACAAGUCGAGCAGGUACGAAAGUAGGUCAUAGUGAUCCGGUGGUUCUGUAUGGGAGGGCCAUCGCUCAACGGAUAAAAGGUACUCUGGGGAUAACAGGCUAAUUCCUCCCAAGAGUUCAUAUCGACGGGGGAGUUUGGCACCUCGAUGUCGGCUCAUCACAUCCUGGGGCUGUAGUCGGUCCCAAGGGUAUGGCUGUUCGCCAUUUAAAGUGGUACGCGAGCUGGGUUUAAAACGUCGUGAGACAGUUUGGUCCCUAUCUGCCGUGGGCGCUGGAAAUUUGAAGGGGGCUGCUCCUAGUACGAGAGGACCGGAGUGGACGAACCUCUGGUGUACCGGUUAUGACGCCAGUCGUAUCGCCGGGUAGCUAAGUUCGGAAGAGAUAAACGCUGAAAGCAUCUAAGCGUGAAACUCGCCUUAAGAUAAGAUUUCCCGGAGUCUUGAACUCCCUGAAGGGUCGUCGAAGACCACGACGUUGAUAGGUCAGGUGUGGAAGCGCAGCAAUGCGUUAAGCUAACUGAUACUAAUUGCCCGUGUGGCUUGAUCC
rnacentral:rRNA from 1 species